CAUUUUCAAGAGACUGAUCCUUCUUCAUACUCUACAGACGCCAGACUUGUCACCAGCGUGUACCUGGGCUUGAGUUCCAAAAGAAAUAUUCAAAGAAGAUGCAUGGCAGCUGCCUGAGAAACACAAAUCGUGUGUUUUAAGGCUGCAUUACAGUUAGGACGUCAUCCAUCACUCCGUGGAACUCACCUGAACUCUGGUGGAUACUGUUUUACGAGCCAGUCCACAUCAAAGCAGUAGUUAAACU